UACGAGAGGCCCAAACGUUAUUCGGAUUUACUGGGCUUAAAGAGUUCGUAGGCGGCGCAGAAAGUGGGGUGUGAAAGCCCUCGGCUCAACCGAGGAAUUGCGCUCCAAACUACUGUGCUCGAGGGACCUAGAGGUGAGCAGAACUGAUGGUGGAGCGGUGAAAUGCGUUGAUAUCUACAGGAACUCCGGUGGCGAAAGCGGCGCGCUGGACCUCUUCUGACGCUGAGGCGCGAAAGCUAGGGGAGCAAACGGG
rnacentral:rRNA from 1 species